ACUUAACGGAGCGCGCGCCGCUCCGCGCUGCACGCCGAGCCCGCGCUGGCCGAGCUGGCGCUCGCGCACUCCACCAUACAACUGUACUUCACCUUCGUCAGGCGGCGGGCCGAGGCGGACGCGUCAACAGUGGACGAAGAAACAAAGAAAUCAUGUAUAGCGGCCACAGAGAAGAUCAUUGCAGAAUGCGACCUGACCAGGACCGCUCAGGACUUGCUGGGACAUUAUUUAGCCUUAGAAAGAUUCUUCUUAGAAGAGAGCGUCAGUAAAGCUCUCAAGAUGGCGGCACACAGGUCGGGGCAACCAGCUCCAGUCUGGUUGACGAUGUCUUCUACAUUGCCAGGAAAGUGAUCCGCCGCAGCAUCUCAACGGGCAGCGUGGACGGCGCGUGCGCGGUGCUCAACGAGGUGUCGGCGCUGCUGGAGCAGGACGCCGCCGCCGCGCUGCGCCGCUGGCUGCGCGCCCCGCCCCCCGAGCCCCUGCCCCUCCCGCCGCCCCGCCCCGCCGCAGGUAACAAC